AAAGGGAGACCUAAUUCGGGUAUAAGACGAAAAAAUAGUAGUCGAAACCAAGAAUCAAUCCCAAAAGGUCGGAACGAGGUAUGUGGCUUUCAAACUAGGUUCUGGGUUCAUAAAAGACCUGAAUCAGGAACAAGGGCUAUUAGCUCAGGUGGUUAGAGCGCACCCCUGAUAAGGGUGAGGUCCCUGGUUCGAGUCCAGGAUGGCCCACCUGCACAGGUGGCAAAAACAAAGAAAAGAAGCGAGGAAUCAGCACCUUAUCUUACUUAUAUAGUAAGAGAGAAUGCUGGCUCUGAGUACAGAGUCCAGAGGAACCUUGAAAACUGCAUAGAGCUAGGUGAAAAAGCCAAAAAAGAAGACCGCAAG
rnacentral:tRNA from 1 species